GUAUCAAUGAUUGCUAUAAUAAUUGAUCUCAUUUAAAAAUCUGAACAAAAUGAGUUACACAAUCACUUCUGUGAAACUGAGGUCUAGCAUAGAUAC
ensembl:snoRNA SNORD116 Small nucleolar RNA SNORD116